UAUCUAUGGUAUGGGUAUUGCAAUAAAAGUAACUUGAAGCGAUCCCAUGCUUCAUGAAAGGAUUCAGUAUCCUUUUGAUAAAAGUUGAAAAUUUCGGCCUUUAACUCU